GACGAACGCUGGCGGCGUGCUUAACACAUGCAAGUCGAACGGAGUGGCGAACGGGGGAGUAAAACGUGGGUGAUCUGCCUUGCACUUCGGGAUAAGCUUGGGAAAAUGGGUGUAAUACCGGAUAGUGCAAGAUGAGCUCGCGGCCUAUCGGCUUGUUGGUGGGGUAAUGGCCUACCAGGGCGUCGACGGGUAGCCCGCAUGGGAGGGUGUACGGCGACAUGGGGCCUGAGAUACGGCCCAGACUCCUACGGGAGGCAGCGGUGGGGAGUAUUGCACAAUGGGCGGGCGCCUGAUGCAGCGACGCUGGGUGGGGGAUGAAGGCCUUCGGGUUGUAAACUCCUUUCGACAGGGACGCGGUACCUGUAUAAGAAGCACCGGCUAACUACGUGCCAGCAGCCGCGGUAAUUC
rnacentral:rRNA from 1 species